CCUGUGACAUACCAAUUGUUGCCUCGGCGGAUCAGCCCGCUCCCGGUAAAACGGGACGGCCCGCCAGAGGACCCCUAAACUCUGUUUCUAUAUGUAACUUCUGAGUAAAACCAUAAAUAAAUCAAAACUUUCAACAACGGAUCUCUUGGUUCUGGCAUCGAUGAAGAACGCAGCAAAAUGCGAUAAGUAAUGUGAAUUGCAGAAUUCAGUGAAUCAUCGAAUCUUUGAACGCACAUUGCGCCCGCCAGUAUUCUGGCGGGCAUGCCUGUUCGAGCGUCAUUUCAACCCUCAAGCCCAGCUUGGUGUUGGGACUCGCGAGUCAAAUCGCGUUCCCCAAAUUGAUUGGCGGUCACGUCGAGCUUCCAUAGCGUAGUAGUAAAACCCUCGUUACUGGUAAUCGUCGCGGCCACGCCGUUAAACCCCAACUUCUGAAUGUUGACCUCGGAUCAGGUAGGAAUACCCGCUGAACUUAAGCAUAU
rnacentral:rRNA from 1 species